rnacentral:misc_RNA from 1 species
CUCUCGCGAUCCUUGCUGGGAUUUUAUCUCCUAAACAUAAACCCUAAUAUUUGAUUCUUUUUUCUAUGGCCCAUCUUUUCCAAUGCCUUGUCUAAAUGGAUCAAUAACCAACCUUAGGUACAGCUUCAUACGUUAGUUUAUUAGGUUUUGUGGAGCGGAGAUUGGUCUUCUGAGGGAGCUACAACUGUGUUUCUCUCAUUUUCUUAGCAUCCAAGCAAGUAGUUGGU